rnacentral:rRNA from 1 species
UCAAGUGUCUUAAGGGCAUUUGGUGGAUGCCUUGGCAUGCACAGGCGAUGAAGGACGUGAUACGCUGCGAUAAGCCAUGGGGAGCUGCGAAUAAGCUUUGAUCCGGCGAUUUCUGAAUGGGGCAACCCACACCUUUAUGGUGUACCCGCAAGGGGGCAAACCCGGGGAACUGAAACAUCUAAGUACCCGGAGGAAAGGACAUCAACCGAGACUCCGCUAGUAGUGACGAGCGAACGCGGACCAGGCCAGUGGUCAUAUUUUAAGAACCGGAACAAGUUGGGAAACUUGGCCUUAGUGGGUGAUAGCCCCGUACGGGUAGAAAGAUUUAUGAUCCUUGAGUAGGGCGGAACACGUGAAAUUCUGUCUGAACAUGGGGGGACCACCCUCCAAGCCUAAGUACUCCUAGUCGACCGAUAGCGCACCAGUACCGUGAGGGAAAGGUGAAAAGUACCCCGACGAGGGGAGUGAAAUAGUACCUGAAACCGAAUGCUUACAAACAGUUGGAGCCCGUAAGGGUGACAGCGUACCUUUUGUAUAAUGGGUCAGCGACUUAAUUUAGUGAGCAAGCUUAAGCCGAUAGGUGUAGGCGUAGCGAAAGCGAGUCUUAAUAGGGCGUUUUAGUUCGUUGGAUUAGACCCGAAACCGAGUGAUCUAGCCAUGAGCAGGUUGAAGGUGCGGUAACACGCACUGGAGGACCGAACCCACGAAUGUUGAAAAAUUCGGGGAUGACUUGUGGCUAGGGGUGAAAGGCCAAUCAAACUCGGAAAUAGCUGGUUCUCCGCGAAAUCUAUUUAGGUAGAGCGUCCUGUGAAUACUCCUGGGGGUAGAGCACUGGAUGGGCUAUGGGGGCUCACCGCCUUACUGAUCCUAACCAAACUCCGAAUACCAGGAAGUACUGCAGGGCAGACACACAGUGGGUGCUAACGUCCAUUGUGGAGAGGGAAACAACCCUGACCGCCAGUUAAGGUCCCUAAGUUAUGGCUAAGUGGGAAAGGAUGUAGAGAUCCCAAAACAACCAGGAUGUUGGCUUAGAAGCAGCCAUCAUUUAAAGAAAGCGUAACAGCUCACUGGUCUAAAUAAGGGUCUCCGCGCCGAAAAUGUACCGGGGCUCAAGCCAUACACCGAAACUGCGGGUGCACGUAAGUGCGCGGUAGCGGAGCGUUCUGUAAGCUGAUGAAGGUGGACCCGUGAGGGCUGCUGGAAGUAUCAGAAGUGCGAAUGCUGACAUGAGUAACGAUAAAGAGGGUGAGAGACCCUCUCGCCGAAAGUCCAAGGGUUCCUGCGCAACGCUAAUCGGCGCAGGGUUAGCCGGCCCCUAAGGCGAGGCCGAAAGGCGUAGUCGAUGGGAACGGGGUUAAUAUUCCCCGGCCAGUGGGUAGUGACGGAUGCCGUGUAUCGUAUCUCCUUAUUGGAUUGGAGGUGCGGUGAAGGUGUUCCUGGAAAUAGCUCCCACGCUAAGACCGUACCCGAAACCGACACAGGUGGACAGGUAGAGUAUACCAAGGCGCUUGAGAGAACUGUGCUGAAGGAACUCGGCAAAUUGCUCCCGUAAGUUCGCGAGAAGGGAGCCCUUUACGAAGGCAACUUUGUAAGGGGGGCACAGAAUAGGGGGUUGCGACUGUUUAUCAAAAACACAGGGCUCUGCGAAGCCGCAAGGCGACGUAUAGGGUCUGACGCCUGCCCGGUGCUGGAAGGUUAAGAGGAGGUGUGCAAGCACCGAAUUGAAGCCCCAGUAAACGGCGGCCGUAACUAUAACGGUCCUAAGGUAGCGAAAUUCCUUGUCGGGUAAGUUCCGACCUGCACGAAUGGCGUAACGACUUCCCCGCUGUCUCCAGCACAGACUCAGUGAAAUUGAAUUCCCCGUGAAGAUGCGGGGUUCCUGCGGUCAGACGGAAAGACCCCGUGCACCUUUACUACAGCUUCACACUGGUAUUCGUGAUGACAUGUGUAGGAUAGGUGGUAGGCUUUGAAGCCGUGGCGCCAGCUGCGGUGGAGCCGCAAGAUGAAAUACCACCCUUAUUGUUAUGGAUAUCUAACUGCGGCCCGUUAUCCGGGUCCAGGACAUUGCGUGGCGGGUAG